rnacentral:tRNA from 1 species
GCCUGAUUAGCUCAAUGGUAGAGCACCGUAUUGAAGCUGCGGAAGUAUAUGUUCGAUUCAUGUAUCAGGCG